CUGUAACUUGGGGAAACUGCUCAAAAACACUUUUACUUCGCAUUCUUCGACUGCAAAAGCGUGCAGCACGUAUUAUUACGCUGACUUUUCCACUCCUUCUGUUCUUUUUUUCCCAGAUUCGAAUAAUCCCAAUCUUUGAUCUUGUUAAAUUUAGGAAGCUUCUCUUACUAAUUAACAUCCUCACAAAUCCCAGUGCUCCAUCUUCAUUGAAGGUGGUUCCCUACAGUUAUUCUUGUUUAAGCAAUAAUUCCGUAAAACAGGCUUAUUCGUGCAGAACGCGAAUUCUUUUCGACUUGGUGGCAAUAUUGGUCACCUAAGGAAUAUUUCGAACUAGAUUUCGACGAUGUCAAUGUUCUCAUGGCAACAUGACGACAGCAUAAAGCCUUCCAAUUUAACCCAUAAAUGUGCCGCUAUCUCAAAAACGAUGUCGGGGACCUAUCUUUUUUAUUUCAUAUAUCAAUAAGGAAUGAUGCUCUGCAACUGUGGUGAAAGUUUAAAAAAAUUCUG